GUAAAUAAUUAGUAGCCGUGGGCAAGUUCUCCUGAGCAGGAGCCCGAACGCUCCAGGUUUUACUUCACCGGUGUUGAUUUAGGGCUCUGUAUUGGAACUUGCAAUCAGCACGGGGCUCUUUGCUCUAUUUGAUGGGAAUAUUUGAUUUUACUCCACUCAGAGCUAAAUUAGCUGCAAAGCCUCUCCUCCCCAUCCCGAGCGUGGUCCUGGAGCUGAGCUCAGCCCGGUGAGCAGAGCUCUGAGGGCACAGAGGAAUUCUUUUUGCUGUGGGAAUUUUGUCCCGGCCCUGCCGCUCUCCCGCGUUCCUGGAAAGUCUUGAAUAAUCAAAUGGGUCAUUUCUGCUCGGCUGCCGUAAUUUAUUGUCCCACCGAAUCCAGAUCUUCUGAAUGCUAAUGGAAAAAACCCCAUCAGCCGGGCUGGUGCCAUUCUGCUUUAUGACCUUAUUAAAUUUACACUUUCCUAUCA